GCAAACUUGGUCAUUUAGAGGAAGUAAAAGUCGUAACAAGGUUUCCGUAGGUGAACCUGCGGAAGGAUCAUUAUUGAAUAAACUUGGUGGGUUGUCGCUGGCUCUGCGGAGCAUGUGCACGCCUGCUAACUUUAUCCAUCCACCUGUGCACCCUCUGUAGUCUUGGAAGGGAUGAGACUGGCUUACCCUCGAUAGGUUUUCUAAACCUUUCGGAUGCAAGGACUGCUUUGAAUAGCUUUCCUCGAAAGCCUAUUAUCACUUUUGAGAUUAUGUUUUUCAUAUACCACGUCGUAUGAUGCAGAAUGUAUUCUAAUGGGUCUUUGUGCCUAUAUAACAAUACAACUUUCAGCAACGGAUCUCUUGGCUCUCGCAUCGAUGAAGAACGCAGC
rnacentral:misc_RNA from 1 species